rnacentral:rRNA from 1 species
GACGAACGCUGGCGGCGUGCCUAAUACAUGCAAGUCGAGCGAAGUUUUUCUGGUGCUUGCACCGGAAAAACUUAGCGGCGAACGGGUGAGUAACACGUAAAGAACCUGCCUCAUAGACUGGGACAACUAUUGGAAACGAUAGCUAAUACCGGAUAAUAGCAUUAACUGCAUGGUUGAUGUUUAAAAGUUGGUUUUGCUAACACUAUGAGAUGGCUUUGCGGUGCAUUAGCUAGUUGGUGGGGUAAAGGCCUACCAAGACGACGAUGCAUAGCCGACCUGAGAGGGUGAUCGGCCACACUGGGACUGAGACACGGCCCAGACUCCUACGGGAGGCAGCAGUAGGGAAUCUUCCGCAAUGGGCGAAAGCCUGACGGAGCAACGCCGCGUGAGUGAAGAAGGAUUUCGGUUCGUAAAGCUCUGUUGUUAGGGAAGAAUGAUUGUGUAGUAACUAUACACAGUAGAGACGGUACCUAACCAGAAAGCCACGGCUAACUACGUG